UCCUCGUUUAAGCGAGGCAGUCUGUCCAGAGUGCUCCGAGCUCUCGCUCAGGUGGCAACAGGACACAAGGGUUGCGCUCGUUGCGGGACUUAACCCAACAUCUCACGACACGAGCUGACGACAGCCAUGCAGCACCUGUGCACCCUGAUAUUGCUAUCUCGUCGGGCUUUCACCCUUCUACUAGAUGCAUGUCAAGGCCAGGUAAGGUUCUUCGCGUUGCAUCGAAUUAAGCCACAUACUCCACCGCUUGUGCAGGCCCCCGUCAAUUCCUUUGAGUUUUAAUCUUGCGACCGUACUCCCCAGGCGGAAUGCUUAAAGCGUUAGCUGCGCCACUGACGAGCAAGCUCGCCAACGGCUAGCAUUCAUCGUUUACGGCGUGGACUAC
rnacentral:misc_RNA from 1 species